rnacentral:lncRNA from 1 species
UAUUUCAGGACCUAUGCAGAUGGCAGUCAGUGUGACUGCUAUCACUGAGAUGAGCUGGGUUUUCUGAGGUUUUCCUUUCUCCAGCAGGGCAGAGAUUUCCCACAGGUCCUCUGAGACAUCUGCAUGAGGCUGAAGAUGUCUUACUACCCUAGCACACCAGAUAAUUCUACCUUUGGGACCCUCCACAAAAUCAUACUUUUUACCCUUGCUCACCGAGGAAAAAAAUAACAAGAAGUUUAUGCUAAAAGCUCUUUCAGCAAAGCCUCGUACUGAGUCUGAGGUGCCCUAUGCCAGAAGAAACAAUACCACACACCAUCUUCCCUGCACUCAGCAUGAACCUGCUACUUCAACACGUGUCUCCUUGUCCUGUGGCUCUAUGAGAGGAAGCUGAAACCAGCCCUUUGAAAUGCAGGUAAAAGUCAACUUAGGAAAACCAGCUUACAGUUUGGACAGAAUCGAAACACUAUUCAGUCCUUAGCUGCCUCCAAACAGGCUGAUUUCUUAAUGAUUAACAUAUAUAGCCUGUCCUGGACAUUUUUGUAAUGCCAGUUAUGAUGAUGCCAGUCACCAGAGAAGGAUGCAGGGGCACAGAAAUGAGAACAGAAAGACUGUGGUGAACUUCAUGAGUACAGACAGGUUCAUCUCUUUCUGCUUGAGACAGGAGCACCACGAAGUUGGUCCAUGAAAAGACAUUAAUCCCAAAAUUAGAGGCAAAGUCUGACAUCUGAACAAUGUUAGUUUUUAGAAAAUUAUCUUGCCCACAGAAGUCCAUGGUUACAUACACCUCUCCUUGAACAUUUUGGUGAUAUAUUUCAUAAACAUGGAGUUCAAAAAGUACUCAAAAAUAUUUUGAAAAAGUAUUUCAAAAUAGAAAAUAAAAAAAGAAAAGAGGAAAAUAAGGCA